GCUAAUCUGUUGCUCCCGAAUACAUAUACACACACACACACACACAAACACGCAUACAAGGGUCCUCAUCAACCUCUUGUUCCUGUAACAUUAUGUAAUUGUUACAUUUUUAUAUUUCCCCUUUAUAGUUUUGUAAAAAAGCGUUAGAAUAAGUUGGCGCUAGAUACAUGCCAAAAAUAAAAUCACAUCAGUUUCUAUCCCUUUAUUAGCUCCUUAUCUGAACAGGAAUAAGAUUUAACUCUGUUACCCUGCCUGUCAUGAUUAAAGACCUUCUCUGGAACCCCAGAAUAUUUCAAGUAAACUUUGUAGAAUGUGCACAUUGAUCCCAAUAAGUUCGAGAUAUGUCAUGCCAGGCUCCGGUGUCACAAAGUCACUUGUGUAAAUGUGGCCACCAAGGCUGGUAGCACUGAUGCUUUAAGG